UUUUUUUGCUUCCAAACACUGAAAUUCCAGCCAAGAUUUUCUGGUUAUGGAACCUCUUNNNNNNNNNNNNNNNNNNNNNNNNAAUUAUUGAGGAAUGAAAAAUUUCCAUCUUAUCUUCCCUCUGUUAUUUUGCAGGGAGGGUGUGGUGUUAUCAGUUUGCAGAGGGGUGUAGGGGAGGUUUAGACUUGCACAGACUGGUGGGCCCUCUCUUCCCCAGAUUUGCUGUCAGUUGUUUUGAGGGAAAUGGGUAACCGGAUCUUAGAAUCCCUGGAUGUGACGAGAUAACAUUGACUAUAGGCAAUUCUAUUUACUGAUAAAAAUAAUAUAUAGUUUUCAAAUAGUCCCAUAGUGAGUCACUUCUAAAUAGUCAGAAAUACAUUUCCUGCAAUUCUUCUUAGAGAUUUCAAUUAAUCGUUUUAUAAAAUUACUCCCCUCGCUAAGGUAGUCCAACUGAAUGCUUGAAGAAUUAGCACCAUGCUCUUAAACUUGCCAUAACCUAGACUUCGGGGACCCUUCAGAUAAGAAUCAAAGUCCAGAGCACAUUCUCAUAAGAAAUGCUCUUAGCCUGACUUCCUGAAAGUAGCAAAGAAUAGUUUAAGAGUAAGAGUUAGACAAAAUCUACCGGCAAGCUUCCAGAAUGCCAGACCCCUGGCAAAAGGCACACAUCCCAAGUCAUGGAUGGAUGUUGCUGGAGCCUAAACACCACAAGCCAAAGAAACUGGGGAGCUUUGAAGAAAAAUUCAAGAGAUUUGGAUGCCUCAUCCUGCUGGGCUUCUCAGCUCUGCAACUGCAAGCCUUUGAAAUCAUCUGAACCUCAGUUUCCUUUUCUGGAAAGAGAGGUUAAUGACUGCCCCACCUAGCCUGCAGAGUGGCUGUGACAGUCACAUCAGAUCAUCUCCCAGCAAACAUCUUCUGAAUUAACAGAUUGAUGCCGUUGGCAGGCUGUCCCUCCCACUGGUUCUGGGACUCCACGAAGCAACUCUCUUCUGAUUCCCUCCCAGCACUUCCUCCCCACUUGGCUCCUGUGCACAGGUAGAAGUGCGAGGAAAUGAAGCAACAGGUAUUUUAGAAAGGCCAGAAUCUUAUCCAGUUUCAUAUACGAUUCUCUAAAUCUCCCUCCUGCAUUUUCCUCAUUAAGUCCCCAAAUUCUCCAGUCCUAUCUCCUUACCCAUCUCAAGUAACAGAAUUGGUUAAUUCUAGCUGACCUAGAUAAGCUAUCUUUCCUCCAUGCCUGGAAAUCAGGCCAUCACUGUGUUCCUAAAGGCUCUAUGCAAGGAGAUUACUGGUUAUCUUCUCCAAAAGAUGAAGAACGAGACAUUCCUAUUAGAGAAGGGAAACUGCAAAGACUUCUAGGGCUUUCUCUAGGGACCAGAGAGAGAUAGAGACUUGUGUCCCCAGGUACAGAGGUCCCACCUCUCUGGAAGCCCUUUGGGGAGAUGGCAGGACCUCAGGAAGAAAUAACAACCAAAGCUUUGCCAAACGGUCAUAGAGCCACCAGUCUCCAAGGACGAUGAGGACCCGGCAAAUGAAUGGACCAGUGGUCACCCAGGCGGACCACAGACCAGAGGGCUCCACCUGAAUACUCUGGGUGGACGUUCCCAGGAACUGGGAGGAACAGGGCAUAUUCCAGGAAGGCCUGGGACUGACUCUCCCACCACGCUGGCAGGAUGGCUACAAUAGCAUAUCAAAUUUAAUUUAAAGUAAUAAAAGAAAUGUGACAUUUCUUAUGCCUGAUCAUGUGGCAUAGAAUUUGCAUGCUUGUUGUUCUUUCUGGGACGUUCUGGCAGAUAACUCUGCUUUCUUUGGAUGCUCCAGAGUUUGGCGGAAACGGUUCUAAAGAUCAGCAGAAGCUCUUUCUGAAGUUAACUUCCGCUCCCACCCCUGGUGAGAAUUUACCCAGGGAAAUACCAACCCAGCAAGUAUUUCCUUCAUAACCUGAAACUCAGGCUCUGAGUGGCCUACGUCCCCUUCACUCACAAGUGCUUCUCAGCCAGUCUCUAGUGGAGAAGAACAUGUUCUCUCUCUUACAUCCAAAAAGUUAUACACAAUAAUCGCACAAGAAAUAAAUGCAAAACAUCGUGACAGCAAGCACUGUCCCUGAUUCUCAGGCAAGAACAGCUGUUGAACUGCUCUACUAACUAAACUCAUACGCCUUUGGAAAUAGAGGUGUUAUUGUCCUUAUUCCACUCCAGGGAAACUGAGGCCCAGCAGUGUUAACUAAUUUUCUAAAGAUCUCAAGCUGGUAAGUGGCAGAGCUAGCGUUAGAACCCAACUCUGCCUUCUAUUCUCCUGGGCUAUUUAAUCCCAAUUAUCUGUUCUUCAGCAAAACUCUUCUUUUUCUGUGUGUGUGUGUGUUCGUGUGUGUGUGUGUGUGACGCAACGCUCAGCUGCUGAAUGUGGAAGAGAGAGCACAGAUUUUAAAUAUAACCAUUGCCAUAUUUGUUUACGGCUGGGAGCAGCAAGUCUGAGUUCCAGGAGAUGUCCUCUGAGCUCGGGCUGAAAGGUGCCCGUCGCUGAUUUAAUGUGAUAAUCAGGGGUUGUGUCCUGGGACAGACUGUGAUGCAUUGGCUGUUGUUCUGCCCUUUGAUGUUCCUUGGAAUUUGUCAAAACAUGCUUGGGCCCUCGGCAAAGUGCCAUAGCGUCACCGUCCCCCUCUCUGACCAGGAGCGCAGGGCAGGGGCGGGGCGGCCGCCAGAAGUGAAGGUCAGCACCGGGUCAGAGGGUGCAGACCUUUCCAGGGGACAGCCGGCGGCCGCCGCUCCCCACGGCACACCCAGGGGCCCUCUGUCUGUGGGGGAUAAGCAGCUUUGCAGUCUCGGACUGAAGGGGGCCUGCAGACCCCUCCUGUCUCAGCUCAGCCGCAGAGCCUCUGGAGCCAGGAAUCGUCUUGCACAGCCUCCGUCACGGGGGAUGGCGCUGCAGGCAGGGAAGGCGGGCACGGUGGGCCCGCUGAGUUCACUGCCUCCAGGACGCUCCCUCUCAGGACUGGGCACCGGCAGCCCAAGGUCAGGAGCCAGCCCCUGCCAUGCCUUUAGGGCACUGUGCUCGCGGCAAAGGCAGCGGGCCGGAGGGCGGCCAGAUGACUCACGCAGGGUCUCGCCAGCUGGACAGCGAAGCCUAUUUCCCAAGGCCGGUCUGGGCAGCGUAAAGAUUUGGAACAUUGCUGGCACCCGGCACUGGGGAUCUGUAGAGCUUUCUUGGGAGCAGCUCAUCUGAAGGGUCACCCUGUCCUAGAAGUGAGGAAUGACAAGGUUUGACUGUCCCAGUUGUCCUCUUGGAGAAGGAGAGAGUUGUUGGCCUAGAAGCAUGUUGGGUUUUUCUGUUGGGCUGCUUCACGUUGGCCUCUGAGGGGAUGGGGUCUAUCAAAUGGGGUUUCAGGGGGUCCCGUUUACUGUGACAUUGGGAUCAUUGUUCUAAUCUUGCCGCAUAGGAUGACAUCACCUACACUGUGAAGCCAACCUCCCAGAGAAUCAAGAAAAGUCAUAUAACUCUUCAUUUCAUUUUUAGCUCUCCAAACCUUAGUUUCCAGAUCUGUAAUGUGAGAUUUGUAAUAUCCUAGCCUGGGGAGUUCUUUAAGAGCUAAAUGUGGUUAUGCACAUUAAAAUAUUUAAGCGCAGUGCCUGGAACAGAGUGGGACUCAAUAAAUGUUAAUUUUCCCCCCUUUCUUCCUUGCCCCCUUGGUUCUCUGGACCCAUUGCCAUAUCCUCCCAAUGUCUAAAUUAAAAUGAACACCAUUUUGCAAUAACUAAAGCUUAGGAAAGAUGUGACAUUGUCACCCAUGACAAAGCCAGGGACUCAGCAUGAUAGCUGGGUAUUGCCCAGUCUACUGGAAGCCACAUUCUAAUCCUCCACCCUGGGGUAGAAAAUCAUGCUGAGCACCUAUGGGUGGCCUCACCUGGUGAGGGUGACAGUGUUACAACUUGCGGAGGCAAAGAGGCAAAGAUUUAAAAUAUGAGGCUCGGAGAGCCCAGACAUGGGUCUGCAGGGGAAAGGCCUCAGUCCAGAGAAGCCAUUAAUUUCCCUUCCAUUUCGGAUGGAAGGAAAAGCUUCUUUGCCAACUUCAGGGACCCAGAAAGGACCACUUCUUACUGCAAACCAACAAUUUCUGACAGGUAAGUGGCCUGAAGGGUCACUUGGGAUUAACUACUGGGAAGCAAUUCCAGAAAGGGGCCACAGACAUCGAGACAGUGUGGCUCCCUGUGCUGAGAAGGUGACGUCAGCCAUGCAGAUAAAUUCCAGAGACUCUAUCACCCCUCCAACAAUGAUUUACCAGCUUGUAAAUUGUUUCCGAGCCCUUUCCAUACUGACAACCUCUGGGGACUGUCCAGGCAUCCUGGAAAAUUACAGCAAGAGGGUAUCUUUCCGAUUCUUCUUUACCCAGUGUCUAGUUUCUUUAAGACUUAGUCUAAUUUCUCUCUGUUCUAUCAAUUAUUGUUAAAUGAAGAAGCUUUUUCCAGUACUAAAUGCUGAAUGCUGCGUAGAAUUGCCUGGAAAUAGCGCCGAAUAUGGGUUCUGAUGAGAAAAUAUGCCGGAGUUGGAUGUUGACCCCAGCAUUGAAAUUACUACAGUUUUCCUCUCUGAGUUCUCUCUAAGUCAUUUCUCAAGGGCUGCUUGUGGGUACUUGUGUAUCCAUUCUACAGAUCGAGAAACUGAGGUAAAGACAGACCAGAUACAAUCUGCUUAUGGGCAUUUGGCAAAAUAGCUACCAAAUCAAUCAAAGGUCAUGAUCUUUGCCUCCAGACCUCUUUGCCUCCCUUCUGCGAGAAAACAAAAUAAGAUUCAGGAGAUGAAGCAACAGUAGAGCAGAAGGGUCUAAAUGGAGCAGGGUUCCCUUGAUCUAUGAGCCCCUGGUGUCCUUUAGGGGGCUCUGUGAGAGAAAAGAGAUCCCCAUGGGCUGAGGAAAGGGCGUUGUAUGGGAACCAAUCAAAUUCAAGUAAACAUUUGUUACCAGCCCACAUCACUUAGUGAAGAAGGCAAUCUACCCUUACAAAGAGAUUUUGAAAACUAUAUAACAUCAUUCCACUUGCGGCUGACAACACAGCUAUGAGUACAAUCUUAGUAUUGCCAUUUCCCAGACAAGAAAACAGAGGUUUGGAGAAGGUACCUUGCCCAAUGUCAUACAGUGAAUAAGCAGUAAAACCAGACCACCCAGCACCCCAGUCCUCUCUGAAUACAAGUCUAGUGCUCUCUGCCCUACAUUUCAGACAUUCGGACAUCGCAGCAUUUGCCAGAGCUUGUAUCAUUGGACGCAAAAGGAAACAUGUAUUAAAAAGGACUCUUGACUGGAACUAGGGGAGGUAACUUAUUAAAGGAAUGUUCAGUUGAGACGCAAAUGGCAGAGGGAUUCUAGGAUGGGGAUCAGAAGCCCUAAAAGUCUUUCUUUGCCCAGAGACAUCCCUUAGAGUGUCUGUCCACAAAGAGGGUCUCAUGUUCACUCUAGGGUGGGCCAGGGUAGCCCCUGAAACCUUGAACUCUGGAGCCUUGCGUGGAAGCUCUGGGAUGUUUCGAGCCUCCUGAAAUCCCAGGAUCUGAUCCAAGAAGUCAAACCUGGGCCUCACAAUCCCCUCAGGAUUAUGCAAGAGACCCAGCCUCCUGCUCUCUGUUGCAUUCUUCACACACAGAGCUGGGCCUUGGGAGGUGAAGUGGGGACAAGACAACGUCCCCAGGUGUCAACUCCAGUCUCGGCGCAGACCAGGGGAGCUCAGACCACAGUGAAAUGACUUGCCCUGGCCAACACAGUCAUAAGCAGAGUCGAACACAGUCCAGACUAAAAAGGCGGAAAACCAGUAGGCAAGGAAACCGUUUUGUCAUCCAAGGACAAUAAAGUUUAUGUAUUCCCAGAUGUGGGUCCUCCCACUUAAUCAAAGCCGAGGCCCAGUCCAGUGAAAAGAGCUUUUCUCCAGCAAAAUGGGAAAGCAGCUUCCUUGGGACUAAAUUUAGACUUCACCCACAGGGGAAGGGCUCCAGUUCUUCAGGGCUGCCGACAGAACAAGCAAAUGGUUCAGUGUCCCAGCUGGCCACACCACAGCCAGAGCCAGAGCGAGCCAGCUCUGAAAUGUUCCUAGGCCAGCAGUGUGGGCUGUGCUGUCCCCUGGGCUGGGCUCUGCCCCUGGCUUGGUCACAGCUUGGAGGGUGUGUGGCUCUGGGCACUCUGCUGGGUGUCAGGUCUCACACUGCCUAGGGGAGCUGCUCAAUAGCCAUACUCCCAAGACCAGGGCUCAGAGCUCCAGAGGUGCUAGAAAGCCAGGCUUCUGCCAUCAAAUUUAUCUUAAAGGUAUCUUGAAGCUCCAACUUCGAGAAGCCAAUGCUUGGCAAAUGACCAAAUUAAUAUACAGAGGGGUGUGGUUCCCAAGAAGGAAGAAUAAAUUACCCAUGGUCAUGUAAGGCAUCAUGGGAAAGGUCGGGGUUUUCUCCUGGGCAGGGCCUUUUCCCCCAUCCAGAGCCCUCAGCGUCCUCUCCCUGAGUCAGUGCUUCUUCUCGGAGGCCCCAAAUCAGUCAUAGCAGAUGCCCUGUCUUGGGAAAAUGUUAAUGUGGUGCCUACCAAAGGAAAUCAAGUUCCAUUCACUCCUCUCCUUGGCCAAAUAACAGGAAGGAUGGAAGAAGCUGGCAUUUUCCCAACAGCACCCCAGACUCAAGAUCUGGCUUCCCACCCUGGACUCUAAGGAAGUGUGUGCCAGCACACGCCAAUUCACUACUGUCAAAUCUAAUCACAACUUAGACCAGGCAGGGCUGGGGGUGCUUGGAGGGGAAGUGAUAACAAUAAAAACUGACUGCAUCUUUCUCACCCAGCAUUCCUACAGACAUGAACCAAGGUUUGCUUAGGAGGUGAAACAAGAUGAAAAUUUUGCCUUCUGGAACAUAUCCCAUAGCACAUAGACAAAGGUCCACCACCACCUCCUUGCAGGUCACCCACAGACAGAGCUAAUCGCCAUCUCCACUGGGCUCUCAUGGCCCUGCACCCUUAGCUCAGUUACAGCACAUACUCCUCUGGGGGUCAUUACUGGUUUACAUCAGUCCUGGGAGAGACUGGGAAGGGUCCUGAUCUUACUUCAUUUUGAAUCUCCAAUUCCUGGCAUAUAGUAGGCCUUCCACUGGCAUUAGAUGAACACAUGAAUGAAUGAACGAAUAAAUGACACUCAAAUGUAAAAACCACCUCGUUUAAAUACCUUGGUGCCUUCCUUAAUAAAAGAUGAUGGUAUGAUAUGAAAGUUAAUAGAUGUCCAUCUAAAGGUAUCCCAGGAUUGCUCAACCACCAAUGAUGGAACAAACAUGGUCCUCUCCAGAAUGAAUAAGCAUCUGCUAAUGUUUGAUAUCCUCUCUGGUUCUCAUUAACUGGAAAGAACUGGGCUGCCUGUGUGUCUCUCUCUCUCUCUCUCUCUCUCUCUCUGUUUCUUUGGAAGUGGUUGCACCAGUUUAUUCUAGUUUGGUUUCCCUGGCAGCAGGUUAAAGCAAGAUAUCAAAGAUCCCCUUGCACUCAUAAUCUGCAGUGAAGCCCCACUAGAGACUUCCUAGCCUCUCUAUACCUGCACUGCUGACCUAACUACCAAUCAGAAUCAUCAGAGGGAAUUCCUAGACCCUACCACGUGGACUCAGAAGAUCAGUUUCUUGGUAGAGAACGCCAUCCACCAGUCCUGGUAUGGAAUACAUAUAGUGACAGUGCAGCCAACAGAGAAUAUAGUGGGAGAAUUCCCACCUGAGGAGUAGAAGAAUUCUCCAAUAACUUACAGCAAUUACUUUACCUUACAGCAGCAAUGCCAAGGACAUAAAUAUUCCAAAGAGAAGCAUGCCUACGUCAUCAGUCCUGAGCCAUGAUUUUUUCAUCAUUUUACCCAGCCAAGCUAAGAAAAAGAAAGAGAAUACAAAUU
rnacentral:lncRNA from 1 species